AUUGAACGCUGGCGGCAUGCCUUACACAUGCAAGUCGAACGGCAGCACGGGUGCUUGCACCUGGUGGCGAGUGGCGAACGGGUGAGUAAUACAUCGGAACAUGUCCUGUAGUGGGGGAUAGCCCGGCGAAAGCCGGAUUAAUACCGCAUACGAUCUACGGAUGACAGCGGGGGACCUUCGGGCCUCGCGCUAUAGGGUUGGCCGAUGGCUGAUUAACUAGUUGGUGGGGUAAAGGCCUACCAAGGCGACGAUCAGUAGCUGGUCUGAGAGGACGACCAGCCACACUGGGACUGAGACACGGCCCAGACUCCGACGGGAGGCAGAAGUGGGGAAUUUUGGACAAUGGGCGAAAGCCUGAUCCAGCAAUGCCGCGUGUGUGAAGAAGGCCUUCGGGUUGUAAAGCACUUUUGUCCGGAAAGAAAUCCUUGGCCCUAAUACGGUCGGGGGAUGACGGUACCGGAAGAAUAAGCACCGGCUAACUACG
rnacentral:rRNA from 1 species